GGGAUUGUGGUUCAGUGGUAGAGCGCUUGCCUCACAUGCGUGAGGCACUGGGUUCGAUUCUCAGCACCG
rnacentral:tRNA from 1 species